rnacentral:misc_RNA from 1 species
UUAACUAUUAUAUAGUACUCAGACGACAUAAAUAAUAUGAGUUUGGGGUCCUCUGGCAGGCGCGGACUAGCCGAAGCCAGCGGUCCGAAGACGGGCCUGCCAAAGCAACAAAGGUAAUGUAAACAAAGGGUGGGAGAUUAGCCCGAAGGCAGUUCUCUUUAGUGAUCCUUCCGCAGGUUCACCUACGGAAA